AUAAAAGAAUUAAUUUAAUUUAAUUUUAGUUUCGACCUAAACUCAGAGAAACUUCUCCUUUUUUA
rnacentral:tRNA from 1 species